rnacentral:misc_RNA from 1 species
AAGUCGUAACAAGGUCUCCGUUGGUGAACCAGCGGAGGGAUCAUUACCGAGUUAUCGCAACUCCCAAACCCCCUGUGAACCUCUACCCAGUUGCCUCGGCGGGAAUGCCCCGGCGGCGGUCCGCGACCGCCCCGGAACCAGGCGCCCGCCGGAGGGACCACCGAAAACUCUUGCCUCCAGCGGGACUCUCUGAGUGUUGCGAACGCAAAUGAAAAUCAAAACUUUCAACAACGGAUCUCUUGGUUCUG